rnacentral:misc_RNA from 1 species
GAUGAAGAACGUAGCGAAAUGCGAUAAGUAAUGUGAAUUGCAGAAUUCAGUGAAUCAUCGAAUCUUUGAACGCACAUUGCGCCCGCCAGUAUUCUGGCGGGCAUGCCUGUCCGAGCGUCAUUUCAACCCUCGAACCCCUCCGGGGGGUCGGCGUUGGGGACCUCGGAGCCCCUAAGACGGGAUCCCGGCCCCGAAAUACAGUGGCGGUCUCGCCGCAGCCUCUCCUGCGCAGUAGUUUGCACAACUCGCACCGGGAGCGCGGCGCGUCCACGUCCGUAAAACACCCAACUUCUGAAAUGUUGACCUCGGAUCAGGUAGGAAUACCCGCUGAACUUAAGCAUAUCAAUAAGCGGAGGA